rnacentral:rRNA from 1 species
GACGAACGCUGGCGGCGUGCUUAACACAUGCAAGUCGAACGAAGUGGCGAACGGGUGAGUAACGCGUAAUCAACCUGCCCUUCAGAGGGGGACAACAGUUGGAAACGACUGCUAAUACCGCAUACUGAAGGAGGGGAUUGCGUCUGAUUAGCUAGUUGGAGGGGUAACGGCCCACCAAGGCGAUGAUCAGUAGCCGGGCUUGGAGGAUGGACGGCCACAUUGGGACUGAGAAACGGGCCAGACCCCUAAGGGAGGGAGCAAGGGGGAAUCUUCCGCAAUGGGCGAAAGUCUGACGGAGCAACGCCGCGUGAGGGAUGACGGCCUUCGGGUUGUAAAGCUCUGUUAAUCGGGACGCGGUACCGGAAUAGAAAGCCACGGCUAACUACGUGCCAGCAGCCGCGGUAAUUC